AUUGAACGCUGGCGGCAGGCCUAACGCAUGCAAGUCGAGCGUGAAAGUCCUUCGGGAUGAGUAAAGCGGCGGACGGGUGAGUAACGCGUAGGAAUCUACCUAAUAGUGGGGGAUAACGUUUCGAAAGGAACGCUAAUACCGCAUACGUUCUGAGGAAGAAAGCAGGGGAUCGCAAGACCUUGCGCUAUUAGAUGAGCCUGCGUCCGAUUAGCUAGUUGGUGGGGUAAAGGCCUACCAAGGCGACGAUCGGUAACUGGUCUGAGAGGAUGAUCAGUCACACUGGAACUGAGACACGGUCCAGACUCCUACGGGAGGCGGCAGUGGGGAAUAUUGGACAAUGGGGGCAACCCUGAUCAGCCAUGCCGCGUGUGUGAAGAAAGGCC
rnacentral:rRNA from 1 species